AUAACCAAUGCUUUGGUCUUACAGCAAGCCAUUAUUUGUUCAGAUAACAAAAGGCCUUUUCAGGUGCAGAUCCACUUCUGGGGAAGAAAAAAACAUGGAGCAGAUUCUGGACUGUUCCCCCUCCAUGGGUGCCAUCAGCACAUAACACACUGGUACCCUGUGAAUGCAGGGUGCUACUCCCCCUUCUUCCUAACGCCAGCAAGAACUGCAAAUAAAGGAACAUUUCACAUAGAUCUGCA
rnacentral:lncRNA from 1 species